rnacentral:rRNA from 1 species
UAUAAGCAGGGCGAAAGAGUCUUCGAGAUCAUCGCCUGACGAUCAAGUGUGAAAGUGAGGGGAGCAGAAAGGAAUAGAUAGCUUGGUCGUAAUAGACUGAAAACGAUGUCGACUUCAUGUUUGUGCCCACGAGGCGUGGCUUCCGGAGUUAAAGUAGAAAGUCGACUACGUGGGGAGUACGGCCUCAAGGUUAAAAUUCAAAUGAAUUGUCGGGGGCCCGCUCAAGCGGUGGAGCAUGUGGUUUAAUUCGAUGCAACGCGAAGAACCUUACCUACUCUUGACAUCCAGAGAAGUUAGCAGAGAUGCUUUGGUGCCUUCGGGAACUCUGAGACAGGUGCUGCAUGGCUGUCGUCAGCUCGUGUUGUGAAAUGUUGGGUUAAGUCCCGCAACGAGCGCAACCCUUAUCCUUUGUUGCCAGCGGUUCGGCCGGGAACUCAAAGGAGACUGCCAGUGAUAAACUGGAGGAAGGUGGGGAUGACGUCAAGUCAUCAUGGCCCUUACGAGUAGGGCUACACACGUGCUACAAUGGCAUAUACAAAGAGAAGCGACCUCGCGAGAGCAAGCGGACCUCAUAAAGUAUGUCGUAGUCCGGAUUGGAGUCUGCAACUCGACUCCAUGAAGUCGGAAUCGCUAGUAAUCGUGGAUCAGAAUGCCACGGUGAAUACGUUCCCGGGCCUUGUACACACCGCCCGUCACACCAUGGGAGUGGGUUGCAAAAGAAGUAGGUAGCUUAACCUUCGGGAGGGCGGCUACCAGAUUUGAUUUCUUCUGUUCU